ACCAGAGCUCACAGGAGCCUCCACCAUGGCCUGGGCCCCUGUCCUCGUCCCUCUCCUCGCUCUCUGCUCAGGGUCCUGGGCACAGUCUGGACUCACCCAGGAAGCCUCGGUGUCAGGGUCUGUGGGACACAAGGUCACCCUGUCCUGCGCUGGAAACAGCAACAACGUUGGAUCAUAUGGUGUGGGCUGGUACCAGCAGGUUCCUCGUGGUGCCCCCAAAACUGUGAUGCUCGGGACAACUCGGCCCUCGGGGAUCCCCGAUCGCUUCUCCGGCUCCAGGUCUGGGAACACGGCCUCCCUGACCAUCUCGGGCCUCCAGCCGGAGGACGAGGCUGACUAUUACUGUUCAACACGGGACGGAAGCCUGAGUGCUCACACAGCGCCCCAGACACAGGGGGAACUGAGACAGAAACCUGCUGCUGCUCCCCUGUGGUCGCCCUCAUGA